GCGUGAUAAAAACAAUGCCUUCGCGGCUCCUUGGUGAUUCAUCAUAACUUAACGGAUCGCAUGGGCUUGCGCCGGGGACGGUUCAUUCAAAUUUCUGCCCUAUCAACUUUCGAUGGUAAGGUAUGGGCCUACCAUGGUUUCAACGGGUAACGGGGAAUUAGGGUUCGAUUCCGGAGAGGGAGCCUGAGAAACGGCUAUCACAUCCAAGGAAGGCAGCAGGCGCGCAAAUUACCCAAUCCCGACACGGGGAGGUGGUGACAAUAAAUACUGAUACAGGGCUCUUUUGGGUCUUGUAAUCGGAAUGAGUACAAUUUAAACCCCUUAACGAGGAACAAUUGGAGGGCAAGU
rnacentral:rRNA from 1 species